GACGAACCGUGCGAACGUUAUUCGGAAUCACUGGGCUUAAAGGGAGCGUAGGCGGGCUAUCAAGUCUGGGGUGAAAUCCCGCGGCUCAACCGUGGAACUGCCUCAGAUACUGACGGCCUCGAGGGAGAUAGGGGCAUGCGGAACUGUAGGUGGAGCGGUGAAAUGCGUUGAUAUCUACAGGAACUCCGGUGGCGAAAGCGAGGUCCUGGACCCUUUCUGACGCUGAGGUGCGAAAGCGUGGGGAGCAAACA
rnacentral:rRNA from 1 species